UACGUCUACAUGGGAGAUCACAUAUGGAUAAAUCUACGGCAGUCAUUUUUCUUAUGGAACACAAAAUUAAACCCGGAUAACCUCACCAUUAGCUUUGAGAUCGAGAAAAGGAGGGAGGCAGAGAGUUUACACUUGCAGACAGUCCUUCGACUUCUUCUUUCGAAUUCAAGAGAUGAUUUUGGAUCUGUGUUGAAUCAUGCCAUAGCUGGAAAGACUACUUAUUUCCUUCCAAUGUUCGAGAAAAAGCUUGAAAAUGAGUUUCUGCAGAGUAACGUUAUGAUCCAAUCAGAUGAGUGAUAAGGGACGUUUGAUGUGUCAGUCGAGAAACCGUAGCUUAAUUGCAACGAACUAUCGAAAGCGUAACACAGUGAUGCUAACGCAGAUGUAAGACCUCUUACCUUAAAGUAUUAACAUAAAUUCUGACUAGAUGUGUUCAAAUAAUAUCAACAACAAUGAGUUUUACAUAAGCAAAGAACUCAGCACAAAGGAGGCGCCACGAACAAGAAAGCUCGCAUUACAACAACUAACUUAUGGUGGAAGGAACUUACAGUAAUUGAAAAAAUAAUUCUUAUGUUCAAAAAUAAUAUAAAACAUGGAAAUAUAUUGCAUUAUCUGCAUUACAGUGCACCAUAAAGGAGUUCAUUUGGCGCAGACUGUACAUCAGAGAAACACCAAUCACUCCAAUCUUGGUUGGUUGCUUUCUUACUAAAUUCUUCCUUUCAAUAUUCGUGACUUGAGAAGGGAGGCACUAAGGUAUACAACCUUGGAGCGUACUUUCUUUAGCAUUGGUUUUGUUGUUUCUCUAAGUGCAAAUAAUUGGUGAUGUCGGCAACUAUGGUCACACAAAAUGUAAAUCCAUGGUUAAGGAACCGUUGCCAAGGUAUGUUAUAUAAGAUUUAACUUUCUAUGACUCAAUAAGUUCUCUUUUCCCUGAAACAAUUAAACCUAAUUCUUAAUGCAAAGGAUUACACAGCCAUUCGGGAUGUUUAAGAAAUGAUUUCACUCAGGUGCAUGUAAUAACGCUCAAACUGUGGAUGUUUAGGAUUGGGAUCUGAUGCCUUUUUAUCAUCCAAUACUACAAUACUACAGGAACAUGUGUCAUACAGGUCAUCUAAGUUAUGAGCCAAAUUGAGGUCAAAUUGUCCACCCUUUUUAAUCUUGAGAAGAUAUUUUUGUAAAACAGGUUUUUGGGGCAGCAACUUAAUCAAAGGUAACAGGUCAACAAGUGAGAAUGCAAAUAUAAGUAGAUCUUUCUGAAGGUAAGAAUGAGUUUGAACCAGUUGAAAACAUCAAAUGGGACUGUCUGUAUUUAUUUAUUUUAUAUGAUUUUAUGAACAAGAAAUUUUAGUGCUCAAAUGGUAGUGUAGGAAAAUGCAUAGAGCCUAUGUAUACUGCGUUAGAUUAGUUUUGUCGUAGUUUUAUUAGCACGUCAAAUUAUUCGUUUGUCAGUUAAAUUAUGUUUUUAAUUGAAUGAUGGACUUACAUUUUAGUUUACAUUAUGCGUGUGACGUGGUGCGUUUUUGAUUUCAAUGAAGUCCAUUAUUCAAUUGGGUACUUGGUUUCCCAAAAUUCUUUGUUUAGUUAAACUUGGAAGGUUGAUAACUUGACAUCCAUGUAUACAUGUGAUAGGUUCUAUUUACUUAAAUUCCACGAGAAAUUAUGUUUUUUUCCUUUACCGGUUUCUGUCAUACAAUAACUUGAAUAAGUUAUUAAAUAAAGGAACUGAUCCAUUGAUUUCUGCUCAGUUCUUAGAAAUCCCAUCAGUAACACGCAGUAUCCAUAGCGGAGCAUGUGAAAGUGUAAUGAGGAAGUAAUUGUGUAUUCAGUGAUACAUCUUUUUAAUUCUAAAUGAAUUUGAUAGCCAGCAUAGACGUAGGCACGGAUUAUUUAAACUGCAUAUUUUUUCUUAGGUUUGUUCAAUGUCUUCCUGUUCCUAAUUCAUUGUACCUGGAACAUAAUUUUUUGAUGUUGUCUUUAUUCAUUUGGAUAUUAUUUUUACGUAUGGGAUUACAUGGCGCACGAAUCUUGAGGAAUGCUUUCUUAAGUGGGUUUUAAUGAUCCAUUACCAGAUGAUUCCUCUCUGCCUCACAUUUGGUGUCCCAAGCCACAAUCAACUUUAGACAUUAGACAACAGCCCUUGCAGAUAGGAAAUAUUGUAUUACCCAGCCAGGAAAUAUGCAGCCUUCGCAACGGUUGCAGGGUCAGGGCCAGAGCUCACAAAGCCAUAAGCAACAACACGUCCACUGCAGCGGCUGAGCCGCUGUGGUCUUAUGAAUAUUUGAUAGGUUAAAAUGAUUUGCAUUCCAGCAGAUAGGUUAUGUUGACAAUAUGACUUGCGCGAAAUCUUGAAUUAUGUCCUUUUCUCUGAUGAACAUAACAAUGAGAUCAAAUUCUUUGUACAAGGAGGCUUCAGUAUCAGUAAGGCAUUUGUUGGUUAGAAUGAUAUCUUUUUGGUGACUUCACAACUAAUACUGCAUAACCUUAUACCCAGCUAGAAAAGUAAUGGUUCCCUUUUUUCGGUCUUGGUUCGUGGAUAAUUGAUUUAAAUAUUACAAUUUCUACAUUCUGUUGUUGCUCAUAAAAUAUGGGGAAUGUAGCUGAGGAUGGACCGACAAAACUCAUGGCCCAUGUUUCCAGUUUACCUAGACUGAACAAAUCAUCAAGGAAAACUGAGAGUUUAACUAUUGCAUAGGAUUGAAUUUUGUACUGCAGUAGAAAACUACAAUUUUUAACUCCAUUAUUAAUGAUGAUCUUUAGAAUGUACACUAUUGGAGUAUCAUGUUUCAUCACCAAACUCAUAUCUUCAUGAAUAAUAUCAAAUACUUGAUCUUUUACUUGGUUGGCGUUUA